rnacentral:rRNA from 1 species
GAUGAGCGCUAGCUACAGGCUUAACACAUGCAAGUCGAGGGGAAACGACAUCGAAAGCUUGCUUUUGAUGGGCGUCGACCGGCGCACGGGUGAGUAACGCGUAUCCAACCUGCCCACCACUUGGGGAUAACCUUGCGAAAGUAAGACUAAUACCCAAUGAUAUCUCUAGAAGACAUCUGAAGGAGAUUAAAGAUUUAUCGGUGAUGGAUGGGGAUGCGUCUGAUUAGCUUGUUGGCGGGAUAACGGCCCACCAAGGCGACGAUCAGUAGGGGUUCUGAGAGUAAGGUCCCCCACAUUGGAACUGAGACACGGUCCAAACUCCUACGGGAGGCAGCAGUGAGGAAUAUUGGUCAAUGGGCGAGAGCUUGAACCAGCCAAGUAGCGUGCAGGAUGACGGCCCUAUGGGUUGUAAACUGCUUUUAUAAGGGAAUAAAGUGAGCCUCGUGAGGCUUUUUGCAUGUACCUUAUGAAUAAGGACCGGCUAAUUCCGUGCCAGCCGCCGCAGUAA